GAUGAACGCUAGCGGCAGGCCUAACACAUGCAAGUCGAGGGGCAGCACAGAAAUAGCUUGCUAUUUGGGUGGCGACCGGCGCACGGGUGCGUAACGCGUAUGCAACCUACCUUAUACUGGGGUAUAGCCCGGAGAAAUUCGGAUUAAUCCCCCAUGGUAUUAUUAGAUCGCAUGGUUUGAUAAUUAAAGGUUACGGUAUAAGAUGGGCAUGCGUCCUAUUAGCUAGAUGGUAAGGUAACGGCUUACCAUGGCGACGAUAGGUAGGGGGCCUGAGAGGGUGGUCCCCCACACUGGUACUGAGACACGGACCAGACUCCUACGGGAGGCAGCAGUGAGGAAUAUUGGUCAAUGGGCGCAAGCCUGAACCAGCCAUGCCGCGUGCAGGAAGAAUGCCCUAUGGGUUGUAAACUGCUUUUAUUUAGGAAUAAACUCUUGUACGUGUACAAGCCUGAAGGUACUAAAUGAAUAAGCACCGGCUAACUCCGUGCCAGCCGCCGCGGUAA
rnacentral:rRNA from 1 species